rnacentral:rRNA from 1 species
UAGGGAAUCUUCCGCAAUGGGCGAAAGCCUGACGGAGCAACGCCGCGUGAGUGAUGAAGGUCUUCGGAUCGUAAAACUCUGUUAUUAGGGAAGAACAAAUGUGUAAGUAACUAUGCACGUCUUGACGGUACCUAAUCAGAAAGCCACGGCUAACUACGUGCCAGCAGCCGCGGUAAUACGUAGGUGGCAAGCGUUAUCCGGAAUUAUUGGGCGUAAAGCGCGCGUAGGCGGUUUUUUAAGUCUGAUGUGAAAGCCCACGGCUCAACCGUGGGGGGUCAUUGGAAACUGGAAAACUUGAGUGCAGAAGAGGAAAGUGGAAUUCCAUGUGUAGCGGUGAAAUGCGCAGGGAUAUGGAGGAACACCCGUGGCGAAGGCGACUUUCUGGUCUGUAACUGACGCUGAUGUGCGAAAGCGUGGGGAUCAAACAGG